GCCGAACCGAGCGAACGUUAUUCGGAAUCACUGGGCUUAAAGGGCGCGUAGGCGGGUCAGCAAGUCAGGGGUGAAAUCCCACGGCUCAACCGUGGAAGUGCCUUUGAUACUGUUGAUCUCGAGGGAGGUAGGGGCGUGCGGAACUUCCGGUGGAGCGGUGAAAUGCGUAGAUAUCGGAAGGAACACCGGUGGCGAAAGCGGCGCGCUGGACCUCUUCUGACGCUGAGGCGCGAAAGCCAGGGGAGCAAACGGG
rnacentral:rRNA from 1 species